rnacentral:ribozyme from 13 species
UUUGUCUCUUUUGUCUCCGUCUCUUCUUUUUCUUUUUGUUCCUCUUGGUAUUUUUUUUCUUCUGUUAAAUAUGCAAGGACGAGACAGUAGUAAGAGAAGAGGGGAGUCUCUUCAAAUAAGAAACUAAAAUUAGGGUUGCUUUUUAGUUUUGCUUUGAGUGCUUUUUCUGCUCCUUUUCCUU